AUAUAUGUUCGUAGAGUAGCGAACAGGAUAAUCAAAAAGAAAUGUUCGUUAAGA
ncrna:unclassified sequences 6A RNA